rnacentral:rRNA from 1 species
CAGCAGCCGCGGUAAUACGAAGGGGGCUAGCGUUGCUCGGAAUCACUGGGCGUAAAGGGUGCGUAGGCGGGUCUUUAAGUCAGAGGUGAAAGCCUGGAGCUCAACUCCAGAACUGCCUUUGAUACUGAGGAUCUCGAGUUCGGGAGAGGUGAGUGGAACUGCGAGUGUAGAGGUGAAAUUCGUAGAUAUUCGCAAGGACACCAGUGGCGAAGGCGGCUCACUGGCCCGAUACUGACGCUGAGGCACGAAAGCGUGGGGAGCAAACAGGAUUAGAUACCCCCGUAGUCCCUGUCUCUUAUAC